rnacentral:sRNA from 1 species
AAUCAGGAGAUUGGGCCUCGACGUGAAA